ACCUGAGUUUUGUGCACAAAGUGCUGCGAGAGCAGAACAUAACCAUUAAGAUGUUGAAUAACAGGAGGAGGGGAAAAUGAAUGCUGUCAUUAGUCACUCUCUGUCAGCGCAUUUAACAUCUGGUCACAAAAACCUUUUCACUGAUCCAGGUUGCAAAUUCUGGAUGCUCUG